CGCCAAGCCAUUGCCUGCCCGAUCCCCUUCUUGGCUCGCAUGAUUUUCAUGUACCAUGGCCGCAUAGCCCUCGCCGGAAUAGACGGUCAAACACCACCCAAGCAUAGCCCUCGCUGGAAUCCAUCCCCAUGACUUAAUCGAGCUCCUGCUACACCCGACCUCUUCCUUUGCGCAAGCGAGCUGAUUAGCACAGAGGAGAUCUGGCACAUUGGAGCAACGACAUGAGAGCACGUCACGUGGCUCUUGGAUGAGCACGUCCGUGGCCAGCGAGCGGGGUUGCGUGUCCCUGCGACGGCAGGUCUCAUGGCCCCUCCGACGAGCGCCUCUCUCCCCUCUUCCAGGCGACCGACGAGAUCCCCACGCCGAUGAUGCGGUCAAGGCAUCAAGCGCCCACAUCGCCGUCAAUCUCCUCCCCUUGCCAUGGCAGUCGUGUGGCAGGUUCGAGCAGCAAGCUCGUCCCUAGUGCUGAUGGCUAGACCAAGCUAGAAAGAGUGAAACACGUAUAAUACCUAUAUAUUUUUCUUUUUUCUUUUAUAUCCGUUUCCCCUUCCUUUCUCUCCUCUCUCUACCUUAUCUCUUUUCCCCUACCGUCAGCUACUUCUUCCCCACCAUCCGCUGCUCCACGCCACGGGGACUCGGCGGAGCUGCCUCCUCGGAGCUUGCGAACAAGGAUCUCCCGUCCCGGCAUCCCUCCGCUCCUCCUUGUGCAGCAACACGGCGGCUCGCCGGCGGUGCUCAUCUCUGCGCGGGCGUGGCGACCCGAUGUCGCUCCACUACUCCUCGGGCGUCGCCACUGUCGCUCUCCACCGGCCAUGCCUCCCAAUGAGCCGGUGAGGUAUUCAAGAUGCUAGUGGUUGUAAAUAUGCCUUACUACCAGAAGACUUCAAUUUCAAAGUCUCUGCAAUGAUGGUUUGUGGUAUACCGACAAUGGAGGAGUUUCUGUGUUUUAAGAGGACAAGGCGAUGGGAUCCGGCAACCUCACCUCAACACUACAAAAGUUGUACAUGUGGGAGAAGAAGCUUCUUGAGGAAGUUAAGGAGAUGGACAUGAUAAGUCAGGAAGUAUGCUCUUAAGUUUCUAUUCAUUUAACUGCUCCACAGUCCACACUGAUGGUCCCACUCAUAGGCCACAGCAGGGGCACGGCAACACCAUGCCUAGUUUCUAAUACCAUGGAAGCAGCCCCAACAGUGAUCACUACUGCAUGUGUGCUGGAGGCUCGAGGGGAAGAAGUAUGACAUCACGAGGAAGCUGGGGACUCAUUUCGUGAGCCACUGCUGGUUCACAGGGUGUCUCAGGGAGGGGAGGCGCCUCCCAGAGGAUCCCUACUUGAUGGUGGUUUCUAAAUUUGUAUUGUACCUUUUCUCAGCAAUCAACAAACCUAAAGGUGGAAGAUGUGUAAUUAUCAAUGGAUGAUCUUGAGAUGAUUCAAGUCAUUGGCAAAUAAAGUGGUGGUGUUGUUCAGUUAGUGAACAUAAGUGGGUGCGGACAUUAUAUGCUUUAAAGAGCCGCGGCGCUUGAACGACGACUUCGGUUCGCGUCCUCGAUGUGCUGCUGCCCUCAGCAAGGGAGGCCGCGAUCGAUGUGCUGCUGCCCUCAGCAACGGCGGCUGGACGUCGGGCUUUAACCUGUCAGCAACCGAGGUCACGGUGCAUCAAGGGGACGUCAAGCACAAGUCCUUUGGUCACGCACACACACAGGAAACUCACGCACGCAGAAGAUUUUGUUAACCUGAAUGAUGGAUGGAUGUGCUGCUGCCCUCAGCAAGGGAGGCCGCGAUCGAUGUGCUGCUGCCCUCAGCAACGGCGUCUGGACAUCGGGAUUUGACCUGCCAGCAACCGAGGUCACGGACAAUCAAGGGGACGUCGAGGGUCUAGGGGAGGCACGGCGCUGCGAGGAGCAGGAGGCCGGGCAAUGGUCCCGAGGUAGGGCGGAUUGCAGGGCAAGGGCAAGGGCGAUGCUGGAGGCGUCGAGGACCGGGAAAGGAUCGAUUGACAGGUUGUGAUUGUGUUGAUUGUGUUGGCUUUCCUUGUAGGGCGUCGACUCGCAGGAAGAAGGAAGCCGCGGUUGCAGUGGAGGAAUCGAUCGAGUGCUACGUUGAUGAAAUUUUAUAUCAGGAAUCCUUUAUUUUUCUUUAUUUUAUUUUGCACCCUUCCACAUCUCUGAUUAUAUAUUAUUCUCUAUCGUAAAUUUGCAUCAGGAAUCCUUUUUUGUUUUUUAUUUCAAUUUUCACCCUUCCACCUCCUACGACAUCGGUUGUUUCGCACCUAGAGGGGAGCGGGAGCGACCCAAAAAAAUUCGCACCAUCUGGGUGGUUUUACUUUUGUUCUUUUUAGUUGUAGGAGAUAAUCCAAAGCCAAAGGAAAUAAUGCCAACCAUAUUUUAAUAAUCAUCGGCUGAUUAUCACUUAA